rnacentral:ncRNA from 1 species
UGGACACCUGGGGGGCUGGUGGCAGUGGCUUUAGAUGCAAGCUGGGCCCUUCCCGUGGAUCACCCCAGCUGCAGAGGGCGUCGCGGCCACUCCCGGGGAGCCCAGCGUCACAGGUCCAGUACGGGGUGGUGUUAGGUAUCUGCCCCCUUGCCUCUCGGCGUGUGCAGGUGUCUCCUGCCCAGCUGUGGUUCGGUGUGGUGCCUGGACUGGCCUCGGCCGGCCCCUAGCAACUGACUUAGAACUGGUGCAGACCAGGGGAAUCCGACUGUUUAAUUAAAACAAAGCAUCGCGAAGGCCCGCGGUGAGUGUAGACACGAUGUGAUUUCUGCCCAGUGAUCUGAAUGUCAAAGUGAAGAAAUUCAAUGAAGCGCGGGGAGUAACUAUGACUCUCUUAAGGUAGCCAAAUGCCUCUUCAUCUAAUGAGUGACGCGCAUGAAUGGAUGAGCGAGAUUCCCACUGUCCCUACCUACUAUCCAGCGAAACCACAGCCAAGGGCACGGGCUUGGCGGAAUCAGCGGGGAAAGAAGACCCUGUUGAGCUUGACUCUAGUCUGGCACGGUGAAGAGACAUGAGAGGUGUAGAAUAAGUGGGAGGCCCCCGGUGCCCCUUCUCUCAGUCCUCGCGAGGGGGCGAGGAGGGGGGCACGCUGGCCUUGCGGGCCGUUGGUGAAAUACCACUUCUCUGAUCGUGUUUUCACUGACCCGGUGAGGUGGGGGGAGGGGGGCGAGCCUCGAGGGGUUCUCCCUUCUGGCGCCAAGCACCCAGCCGCGCUGGCCAGACAUGACCGGCUCCGGGGACAGUGCCAGGUGGGGAAUUUGACUGGGGUGGUACACCUGUCACACGGUAACGCAGGUGUCCUAAAGCGAGCUCAGGGAGGACAGAAACCUCCCGUGGAGCAGAAGGGCAAAAGCUCGCUUGAUCUUUUUUUAUUUUUUUUAUUUUAUUGAUUUUUUACAGAGAGGAAGGGAGAGAGACAGAGAGUCAGAAACAUCGAUGGGAGAGAAACAUCGAUCAGCUGCCUCCUGCACAUCUACUGGGGAUGAGCCCGCAACCCAGGUACGUGCCCUUGACCGGAAUCGAACCCGGGACCCUUCAGUCCGCAGGCCGACGCUCUAUCCACUGAGCCAAACCGGUUUCGGCAGCUCGCUUGAUCUUGAUUUUCAGUACGAAUACAAGCGCUUUUUGAUUUUUCGAUGUCGGCUCUUCCUAUCAUUGUGAAGCAGAAUUCACCAAGCCUUGGAUUGUUCACCCACUAAUAGGGAACAUGAGCUGGGUUUAGGCCAGUGAUGGCGAGCCUUUUGAGCUCAGUGUGUCAGGAUUUUGAAAAACCCUAACUUAAUUCUGGUGCCGUGUCACAUAUAGAAAUUUUUUGAUAUUUGCAGCCAUAGUAAAACAAAGACUUAUUUUUUGAUAUUUAUUUUAUAUAUUUAAAUGCCAUUUAACAAGAAAAGUCAACCAAAAAAGUGAGAUCGCGUGUCACCUCUGACAUGUGUGUCAUAGGUUCACCAUCACUGGUUUAGACCAUCGUGAGACAGGUUAGUUUUACCCUCCUGAUGAUGUGUUGUUGCCAUGGUAAUCCUGCUCAGUAGAGAGGAACCGCAGGCUCAGACAGCUGGUGUGUGUGCUUGGCUGAGGAGCCAAAGGGGCGAAGCCACCAUCUAUGGGAUUAUCACUGGAGCCUCUAAGUCAGAAUCCCGCUCAGGCGGAAGGUUACGGCAGCGUUUGGACCGAGUCUGGUGCGGAGAGCCCUUCAUCCAGGGAAAUGGGGUGCAGCCAGAAAGGGGGCUGUCCCCUCCCCUUCACACUAGCACAUUUCUGGGGAACCUGCUGCUAAGCCAUUCCUAGAAGACCUGCUUCUGCGUGGGGUUUCCUACAUAGCAGAGCAGCUCCCUCACUGUGAUCUAUUGAGUCAGCCCUCGACUCAAGAGUUUGUCUCGCUCCCGGCCUCUCUCUCCUUCCGAGGGACAGCCGCCCGCACACCAGGGUGGCAGCACCCUGGCCUAGGGAAGGAGGGGGCGGGGAUCCGAGGGGAAUGUGGGGGACAUUAAUCGCACAUUUCAAACCAGGUCGACAGCUUCAGGCAGCUCCUGCCCCUGCUCCCCAGCUCAUCCUCAGAGGAGCCCCGCCCAGCCCCUGAGCAGAGGCAGGAGGGAAAGCGCUAACUGCAUGGUGCCGAGUGCGUCAUCUCUUUUAGGUAAAGUCUAAAUAUGUCUCCAGUUUUUCACAGCUGUUAACCCUUCCCGAGGAUGUUUUUCCAUUGAUUUUUUUUGAGAGAGAGAGUAGGAGAGAGAGCAGGGUGGGGGGAGGUGGGAUAGGGGAGAGGAAAACAUGUGAGAGAGAUGCAUUGAUUGGUUGCCUCCUGCACGCUCCCCGAUCAGGGCCAGGGAUCGAGCCUGAAACCUUUGACCCUUCGGUCCAAACACCAACACUCUAACCACUGAGCAACUGGCCAGGGCUGCAUUGCUGUUUUUGAGAUUUAAAAAGGUCAAAUACCUUUUUUAAAUUUAAAAUAUAUAUAUUUAUUAUAUAAAAUAUAUAAUAGAUAUAAAAUAUA